GACGAACGCUGGCGGCGUGCUUAACACAUGCAAGUCGAACGGAAAGGCCCUGCUUUUGUGGGGUGCUCGAGUGGCGAACGGGUGAGUAACACGUGAGUAACCUGCCCUUGACUUUGGGAUAACUUCAGGAAACUGGGGCUAAUACCGGAUAGGAGCUCCUGCUGCAUGGUGGGGGUUGGAAAGUUUCGGCGGUUGGGGAUGGACUCGCGGCUUAUCAGCUUGUUGGUGGGGUAGUGGCUUACCAAGGCUUUGACGGGUAGCCGGCCUGAGAGGGUGACCGGCCACAUUGGGACUGAGAUACGGCCCAGACUCCUACGGGAGGCAGCGGUGGGGAAUAUUGCACAAUGGGCGGAAGCCUGAUGCAGCAACGCCGCGUGCGGGAUGACGGCCUUCGGGUUGUAAACCGCUUUCGCCUGUGACGAAGCGUGAGUGACGGUAAUGGGUAAAGAAGCACCGGCUAACUACGG
rnacentral:rRNA from 1 species